CCGCGUGAAUGAUGAAGGUCUUAGGAUUGUAAAAUUCUUUUAGCAGGGACGAUAAUGACGGUACCUGCAGAAAAAGCCCUGGCUAACUUCGUGC
rnacentral:rRNA from 1 species